AACGAACGCUGGCGGCAGGCCUAACACAUGCAAGUCGAACGCCCCGCAAGGGGAGUGGCAGACGGGUGAGUAACACGUGGGAACCUUCCCUAUAGUACGGAAUAGCCCAGGGAAACUUGGAGUAAUACCGUAUACGCCCGAAAGGGGAAAGAAUUUCGCUAUAGGAUGGGCCCGCGUAGGAUUAGCUAGUUGGUGAGGUAAUGGCUCACCAAGGCGACGAUCCUUAGCUGGUUUGAGAGAACGACCAGCCACACUGGGACUGAGACACGGCCCAGACUCCUACGGGAGGCAGCAGUGGGGAAUAUUGGACAAUGGGCGCAAGCCUGAUCCAGCCAUGCCGCGUGAGGGAUAGGCCUUAGGGUUGUAAAGCUCUUUUGGCGGGGACGAUAAUGACGGUACCCGCAGAAUAAGUCCCGGCUAACUUCGUG
rnacentral:rRNA from 1 species